rnacentral:rRNA from 1 species
GAAGCUACUAAGGGUCUAUGGUGGAUGCCUUGGCGCUAGACGGCGAAGAAGGACGUGGUAAGCUGCGAUAAGCCUCGGGGAGCUGCAAACAAGCUGUGAUCCGGGGAUUUCCGAAUGGGGCAACCCGGCGAGCUUCGGCUCGUCAACCCUUAGCUGAAUCAAUAGGCUUUGGGUGGCGAACGCGGGGAACUGAAACAUCUAAGUACCCGCAGGAAAGGAAAGUAACAACAACUCCCUAAGUAGCGGCGAGCGAACGGGGAAGAGCCUAAACCAGUCGAUGCGAUACAGCCAGCGCGCGAUGCAUCGAUGGGGUUGCGGGACCUGGCUGACUCCAGUGCUGACGGAGUCGGAGAGUUACAAAGCUUCAUGCUAGCAGAACCCUCUGGAAAGUGGGGCUGCAGAAGGUGAAAGCCCUGUAUGUGAAAGCAUGAAGUCUCUCGGCAGGCACCCAAGUACCACGGGACACGAGGAAUCCCGUGGGAAUCUGCGAGGACCAUCUCGUAAGGCUAAGUACGUGCUAGCGACCGAUAGUGAACCAGUACCGUGAGGGAAAGGUGAAAAGUACCCCUGGCGGGGAGUGAAAUAGUACCUGAAACCAUAGACCUACAAGCAGUGGAAGCGGUCCUCGGACCGUGACCGCGUGCCUUUUGCAUAAUGAACCGGCGAGUUACUGGUAUGCGGCGAGGUUAAGUGGUCAACACGGAGCCGUAGCGAAAGCGAGUCUGAAUAGGGCGAUUGAGUCGCAUGCCGUAGACCCGAAGCUGGGUGAUCUACCUAUGGCCAGGAGGAAGCGGCCGUAACAGGUCGUGGAAGUCCGAACCAGAGAAGGUUGAAAACUUCCUGGAUGAGCUGUGGGUAGGGGUGAAAGGCCAAUCAAACCCAGAAAUAGCUGGUUCUCCCCGAAAUAGCUUUAGGGCUAGCCUCGAGUUUAUGUGCCGGAGGUAGAGCACUGAAAGAGCUAGGGGCCUCACAAGGUUACCGAACUCUAUCAAACUCCGAAUGCCGGACACAGGUAUCUCGGGAGUCAGCGUGCGUGGGAUAAGCUUCGUGCGCGAAAGGGAAACAACCCAGACCAACAGCUAAGGUCCCCAAGUCUGUGCUAAGUGAUUAAGGAUGUGGGUUUACAUAGACAACUAGGAUGUUGGCUUAGAAGCAGCCACCAUUUAAAGAAAGCGUAAUAGCUCACUAGUCAAGUAGGCCUGCGCCAACGAUGAUCGGGACUCAAGCACAGCACCGAAGCUCUGGGAUCGCCUUUGGCGAUCGGUAGGGGAGCAUUCCGUAAGGGGCUGAAGGUGAACCCGUAAGGGACACUGGACCUAUCGGAAGAGAUCAUGCCGGUAUGAGUACGCGAAAAAGAGGGUGAGAAACCCUCUCCCCGAAAAUCUAAGGUUUCCUGAGGAAGGCUAAUCCGCUCAGGGUAAGUCGGAACCUAAGCCGAGGCCGACAGGCGUAGGCGAUGGAAAUCAGGUCAAUAUUCCUGAACCGUCCUAGUGGAGUUUGAGCGAUGGGGCGACGCAGGGGUGGAAGGUCAGCCAGCCGAUGGAUGUGCUGGUCCAAGCCUGUAGGUGGGACUUCUAGGCAAAUCCGGAAGUCCAACACCGAGGGGUUAUGGGGAAACGAGCCUUCGGGCAAGCCAACUGGCCCUAAUCGUACUGCCAAGAAAAACCUCUAAGCGAUUCACUGGGGUGUCCGUACCGCAAACCGACACAGGUAGAUGAGGAGAGAAUCCUAAGGGGCUCGAGAGAACUCUUGUUAAGGAACUCUGCAAGUUGACCCCGUAACUUCGGAAGAAGGGGUGCCCCCAGGUAGGUGAUCCACCUCGCGUGGUGAGCUGACGGGGGCCGCAGCGAUCAGGCUCUAGCGACUGUUUACUAAAAACACAGGUCUCUGCUAAGUCGAAAAGACGACGUAUAGGGACUGACACCUGCCCGGUGCCGGAAGGUUAAGAGGAGUCGUCAGCAGCUUCGGUUGCGAAGCGGCGAAUUGAAGCCCCGGUAAACGGCGGCCGUAACUAUAACGGUCCUAAGGUAGCGAAAUUCCUUGUCGGGUAAGUUCCGACCUGCACGAAUGGUGUAACGACUGGAGCACUGUCUCAACAAGGGACUCGGCGAAAUUGAAGUAGCGGUGAAGAUGCCGCUUACCCACAGCUGGACGGAAAGACCCCGUGGACCUUUACUGCAGCUUGACAUUGGGUUCUGGCAAUGCAUGUGUAGGAUAGGUGGGAGGCUACGAAGCGGAGACGCCAGUCUUCGUGGAGCCAUCCUUGAAAUACCACCCUUGUGUUGUUGGGAUUCUAACCUGGAGCCGUAAUCCGGUUCGGGAACAGUGUCUGGUGGGCAGUUUGACUGGGGCGGUCGCCUCCCAAAACGUAACGGAGGCUCCCAAAGGUUCUCUCAGCGCGGUCGGCAAUCGCGCGUCGAGCGUAAAGGCAUAAGAGAGCUUAACUGCGAGACUGACAGGUCGAGCAGAUGGGAAACCAGGGCUUAGUGAUCUGGCGGUGCCGCAUGGAAGGGCCGUCACUCAAAGGAUAAAAGGUACCCCGGGGAUAACAGGCUUAUAACCCCCAAGAGUUCACAUCGACGGGGUUGUUUGGCACCUCGAUGUCGGCUCGUCUCAUCCUGGGGCUGGAGAAGGUCCCAAGGGUUUGGCUGUUCGCCAAUUAAAGAGGCACGCGAGCUGGGUUUAGAACGUCGUGAGACAGUUCGGUCCCUAUCCGCUGUGGGCGCAGGAGAUUUGCGAGAAGCUAUCCCUAGUACGAGAGGACCGGGAUGGACGAACCUCUAGUGCACCUGUUGUCACGCCAGUGGCAUGGCAGGGUAGCUAUGUUCGGAAGGGAUAACCGCUGAAAGCAUCUAAGUGGGAAGCCCCUCUCAAGAUGAGAUCUCCCUGGGACUUCGGUCCCCUGAAGACUCCUUGAAGAACACAAGGUCGAUAGGCCGGAGGUGCAAGCGCGGUAACGCGUUCAGCCGACCGGUACUAAUAAGUCGUGAGGCUUCAUUGAU